rnacentral:rRNA from 1 species
AUUGAACGCUGGCGGCAGGCCUAACACAUGCAAGUCGAGCGGAUGAAGGGAGCUUGCUCCUGGAUUCCGCGGCGGACGGGUGGGUAAUGCCUAGGAAUCUGCCUGGUCGUGGGGGCUAACGUCCGGAAACGGGCGCUAAUACCGCAUACGUCCUGAGGGAGAAAGUGGGGGAUCUUCGGACCUCACGCUAUCAGAUGAGCCUAGGUCGGAUUAGCUAGUUGGUGGGGUAAAGGCCUACCAAGGCGACGAUCCGUAACUGGUCUGAGAGGAUGAUCAGUCACACUGGAACUGAGACACGGUCCAGACUCCUACGGGAGGCAGCAGUGGGGAAUAUUCGACAAUGGGCGAAAGCCUGAUCCAGCCAUGCCGCGUGUGUGAAGAAGGUCUUCGGAUUGUAAAGCACUUUAAGUUGGGAGGAAGGGCAGUAAGUUAAUACCUUGCUGUUUUGACGGUACCAACAGAAUAAGCACCGGCUAACUUCGUG